CUACGGGACGCACCAGUGGGGGGUAUUGCACAAUGGGCGAAAGCCUGAUGCAGCAACGCCGCGUGAAGGAAGACGGUUUUCGGAUUGUAAACUUCUAUCAGCAGGGAAGAAAAUGACUGUACCUGACUAAGAAGCCCCGGCUAACUACGUGCCAGCAGCCGCGGUAAUACGUAGGGGGCAAGCGUUAUCCGGAAUUACUGGGUGUAAAGGGUACGUAGGCGGCUGAUCAAGUCAGAUGUGAAAGCCCGGAGCUCAACUCCGGGACUGCAUUUGAAACUGGUCGGCUAGAGUGCAGGAGAGGAAAGUGGGAUUCCUAGUGUAGCGGUGAAAUGCGUAGAUAUUAGGAAGAACACCAGUGGCGAAGGCGGCUUUCUGGACUGUAACUGACGCUGAGGUACGAAAGCGUGGGGAGCGAACAGGAUUAGAUACCCCUGUAGUC
rnacentral:rRNA from 1 species